UACGUAGGGGGCUAGCGUUGUCCGGAAUCAUUGGGCGUAAAGAGCGUGUAGGCGGCUCGGUAAGUCCGCUGUGAAAGUCCAGGGCUCAACCCUGGAAUGCCAGUGGAAACUGUCGAGCUAGAGUCCGGAAGAGGCGAGUGGAAUUCCUGGUGUAGCGGUGGAAUGCGCAGAUAUCAGGAGGAACACCGGUGGCGAAGGCAGGUCACUGGGCCGCAACUGACGCUGAGGAGCGAAAGCAUGGGGAGCGAACAGG
rnacentral:rRNA from 1 species